rnacentral:other from 1 species
AAAACCCUGCUGUGUUCGUGAUGCGGCAUACAACGUUUUGAACCAACACUUUAUAAAAUGGGUUUUGCACUUCUGGAUGUAACGCGAUAGGCAUUAGCCAAGGCGGAGCUACCGAGGUAAAACCCAACCUGCGUAAGCAGGUUCAAAACCGAGUCGCACACGGCAUGGCGGGGAGUUU